rnacentral:lncRNA from 1 species
CUUGGCUUGUUUUUGUUGUUGUUGUUAGAUAUGUUUGCUUAGAGAUUUUUUAUAAUUUGCCUAUUGAUUUUUCUUCUUUUCUUUUCCUUUCUUUACUUUUCUUUUUUUUUUUUUUUCUGCUAGGUUGAUGCCUUCAUUAGGGCACUAGAUGGAGCCUUAAGCCCAGGUUUGCUGCAGUUCUAGUAAACAGAAUGUCUUUCAUCCAGAAUGAGGGAUGUAACAGGAGAAAUAUCCCAGUAGUGUGGGAAAGCUAAUUAGGGGUUUGUACCCAUGGGAACUAUGGGAUAAAACUUCUAAAAUGUGGUGAUACUGAACAGUUGCUCUGAAUUGAUGUCUCCUUUGGAUUCUCCCUAAAGAUAAGCAUGAAGCUUAGAGCCCAGCCACCCUCAAAAAAUUGAUUAAAUUGGACAGAACUCUGCUUUAAAAUCAAACAGAGGAGUGCACUCGUGAAAGCAUCAAGGAAAGCAACAACAACACAGGAGGUGGGAAAGGACCCAACCUUUGCCUGAACAACAGUCACUCUUACAAGGAAAUCAGAAAAUCGUUCUUAAUUCUUUUCUCAUUGGUAACCAGGAUUUUGCCUUUCUCAAGCACUUAGGAGUUCUUCUGCACUGAAUGCUGACACAAUAUCUAGAACUACAGCAGCCAUCUUGAGAUAAAUGAAGGAAACCUAAAAACACCAAGAGACGCAUAAUAAAUGCCAACAGCUUGUAGAAAGUAGAAUUAAGGCUCAUAUACAACCAAGACUACUUUAUCUGACAACACUGUGCUUCAAAAAUGAAGGAGAAAUAAAGAAUACCCCAGAAGUGUUUACAAAUGCUGAGAAAGUACAUUACCACCAGAUUUGCAUUACAAGAAAUGCUGAAGAGAGUUCGUCAAGAUGAAAGAACACUAAAGAACAUCAUAAAAGCAUAAGAAAGUGAAAGUUUAUUGGUAAUAACAAACAUAUACACAAAUGCAGAAUAUUGCUAUAACAGCACUGCACAAGUCAAUUUUAUUCUAAUACAGAAGAUGAGAAAAGUAUAAAAAUAACUAUAACUUAGGCAUAGGUUAAUGGAUACACAAUAGAAGAUGUAAUUUGUGAUGUCCAUAACAUAAUUUGGGGGCAAAAUAAAAGAGUAGGGUUUUUGUGUACAAUUCAAGUUAAGUUGUUAUCAGCUUUAAAAAUAUAUAUAUAUAUGUUAGAUGUUUUAUGUAAGCCAAAUGGUAACUGUUAUAAAAAUUAAUGUUUGUGCCUCCCCCCAAAUUCAUGCUGAAGACCCAAUAUCAUGGUAUUUGGAAGUGGCGCUUUGGGGAGGUAAUGAGAUCAAGAAUAUGUAGCCUUUGUGAAUAGGAUUAGUGUUCUUAUGAGAGAGAUGAGAGACAAAUAAGAGAGACGAUUUUACUUUGUCUCAUGAGGAUAUAUCAGGAAGGCAACUGACUAUAAAUCAGAAUGAGGGCCCUCAGCAAGAACCCAGCCAUGGUGACACCCGAUCUCAGAUUUUUAGCCCUAGAAUGGAGAUAAAUAAAUAUUUGUUGCUUAAGCUUCCCAGUCUAUGAUAGUUUACUAUAACAGGUAAGACAGUAACAUCAAAGAAAAUACUGAUAGAAGAUGCAUAAAAGAAAAUGAUAAAGGAAUCAAAGCAUGUCACUAAAAAAAAAAAAAAGGAAACACAAAAGACAAAAAGAGGAAAAAAACAAAAAAGCUACAAGACAGACAGAAAACAACAAAAUGGCUAUAGUAAGUCCCUCCCUGUCAGCAAUUGCUUUAAGUGUAGAUGGAUAGAACCACCCAAUGAAAAGAGGAACGCAAUGAAUUUUUAAAAUCCAACGAUACAUUGCUUACAAGAGAUUUACUUUAAAGACACAUGUAUUGAGAACAUUUGUAUGUAGAAUGUAAAAAAAAUAAGAACACACAUAGACUGAAAGUGAAAGCGUAGAAGAAAGGUACAGUAUGCAAAUGGUAGCCAAAAGGGAGCAGGGGUGGCCAUACUUAUACCAGACUAAAUGGACUAUAAACUUUAAGUCAAAAACUCUCACAAGAAAUAAAGAAGACAUUUAUGUAUAUAUAUUUACAUAUAUGUGUGUAUAUAUAUACAUAUAUACAUAUAUAUACAUACACACACAUACACAUAUACAUAUAUAUAAAAG